AUUUCACUUGAAGUUGGUGUCAGCGCCACUUGCUUACUGUACAAACUUUGGAACGAACCCUAUUGUUCUGAACAACGAGCAGUACCACCGUUGCCACUCGCUGGUCAGGAUCGGAGCGCCGCUUGCUAAUGCGGUUCGUACGGGAGCGAUUAAGCUGCAAAUGGGGGAGAAGUGCAUUCGCCCUAAUUUGAAUUUCACCGGCAAUGUUGCAUUGGAUAGAGAACUUGUCGCUUGGGACGGUUGCACUGAAGACUGGUAUCGCUUCACGUACAGAGCCGAUGGAACAUUCCAACUUUCAGAAUAUCGUUGUCUUGGUCUUGACGACGACGUACCGACUUCGAGAACACGUGUGAUGAUCAAGACCUGCAAUGCAGC